UCUUGGUAAAAAAAUGUAGGUGUAAGGACAAUUUUUGUAAAUAAUCAUAUGAUCUACAAUGUUUGUUUGAAAUAUUUUAUGAUAAAACUUACCGAUUAGCUGGAAAAGGCAAAAAUCCCAUUUUCGUGAACGUUGACCUUGAAUA